AACGCAUAUUGCACCCUCUGGUAUUCCGGGGGGUAUGCCUGUUCGAGCGUUUUUAAAAAAAAUUCAAGUUAUAUAUAUAACUUGGUAUUGGGCUUUCAUCAUCAUAUAUUUUUUUUUUGAUGGGCCUAAAAAUUAGUGGCGAUUUAACUUUCCCCCUUUUCUUAGGGCUUUCAAAGUGUAGUAAAUUUUUUUUUUUUUCUCAUUUUGAUACCUUAAAAAAAGUUUGGUGGAAAAAUCUGUCAAAAUUUUUAUAAAAUUUCAAAAAAGAAACCUCGGAUCAGGUAGGAUUACCCGCUGAACUUAA
rnacentral:misc_RNA from 1 species